AAUAGAUACCCGGGUAGUCCACGCCGUAAACGUUGGGCGCUAGAUGUGGGGGCCAUUCCACGGUUUCCGCGUCGUAGCUAACGCAUUAAGCGCCCCGCCUGGGGAGUACGGCCGCAAGGCUAAAACUCAAAGGAAUUGACGGGGGCCCGCACAAGCGGCGGAGCAUGCGGAUUAAUUCGAUGCAACGCGAAGAACCUUACCAAGGCUUGACAUAUACGAGAACACUGCAGAAAUGUAGGACUCUUUGGACACUCGUAUACAGGUGGUGCAUGGUUGUCGUCAGCUCGUGUCGUGAGAUGUUGGGUUAAGUCCCGCAACGAGCGCAACCCUCGUCGCAUGUUGCCAGCACGUAAAGGUGGGAACUCAUGUGAGACUGCCGGGGUCAACUCGGAGGAAGGUGGGGAUGACGUCAAAUCAUCAUGCCCCUUAUGUCUUGGGCUUCACGCAUGCUACAAUGGCCGGUACAAAGGGCUGCAAUACCGUAAGGUGGAGCGAAAUCCCGAAAAAGCCGGUCUCAGUUCGGA
rnacentral:rRNA from 1 species